CUCAGAUCACCAAGCAUACAUACAAACCAAAAUGCUCAAACACUCACUACAGUCAAAACAGCCAUCACCCCAGCCAUUCACCUUUCAAAUUGUGGAUGAAAUUGAUGGAGAUUUCUGUUUGGAAGAAUUAGUCUAAGUCCGACUAAUUCAUGGGGGUCUUGAACUACUUCUCAUCAACUCCCAGUCAAACGCAGUGCAAGGAUUUAUAUCUGCUGCAAAUCGGCUAUUCCACUGCGAAGCGUAUCUCAAGCUCAUUAGUUUUAUAAGAAACUAUUCUACUUCCUACUCGUCUACUCCUCUUCCUCAGGACUUUCCAAUUGUUCAACAUUUGCAGGUUUUGAGACUGCAACUGUAGUUUCCUACUCAAGUUCGUAGAGUUAAACAAGAGUAUCAAAAGCUUCAUGAAUUUUCAUUACUUAUUUAUUUGAUCUGUUUGUCAUUUGAAGAUCCAUUGGAAUUUUUGUGGCAUCUUCUACUACUAUUAGUCAUGUUAGCUCUAAUGUUUGUUCGAUCGUAGUAUUCAAUAGAAUUAUUAUGCGUUUCGAGCU